AGUGAACGCUGGCGGUAGGCCUAACACAUGCAAGUCGAACGGCAGCACAGUAAGAGCUUGCUCUUACGGGUGGCGAGUGGCGGACGGGUGAGGAAUACAUCGGAAUCUACUUUUUCGUGGGGGAUAACGUAGGGAAACUUACGCUAAUACCGCAUACGACCUACGGGUGAAAGCAGGGGAUCUUCGGACCUUGCGCGAUUGAAUGAGCCGAUGUCGGAUUAGCUAGUUGGCGGGGUAAAGGCCCACCAAGGCGACGAUCCGUAGCUGGUCUGAGAGGAUGAUCAGCCACACUGGAACUGAGACACGGUCCAGACUCCUACGGGAGGCAGCAGUGGGGAAUAUUGGACAAUGGGCGCAAGACUGAUCCAGCCAUACCGCGUGGGUGAAGAAGGCCUUCGGGUUGUAAAGCCCUUUUGUUGGGAAAGAAAAGCAGCAGGUUAAUACCCCGCUGUUCUGACGGUACCCAAAGGAUAAGCACCGGCUAACUUCGUG
rnacentral:rRNA from 1 species